rnacentral:rRNA from 1 species
CCUUACUCAAAGUCGCAACUAGUAUGGAUACGACGUGGACAGUCCGAUCUCACACCAUUUUUUCAUAUUAUAUACAAUCUCACAGAUCCCAUGGCGUGUGCAGUGUGCUGUAUAAAUUAGUGGAUGCCUCCACCUUCAUCGACCACCUCCAUUGAUCAAAGAUCAGAGCUCAGGAGCUCAGGAGCUCGCAGCAAUGGAGCCGCAUGCCGAGUCCAAGCCCAUCCCGCUGAUGACGCCGUACAAGAUGGGCUCCUCGCUCGACCUCGCCCACCGGGUGGUGCUGGCGCCGCUGACGCGGCAGCGCUCCUACGGCAACGUGCCGCAGCCGCACGCCGCCGUCUACUACGGCCAGCGCGCCACGCCCGGCGGGAUGCUCAUCACCGAGGCCACGGGGGUCUCCGACACGGCGCAGGGGUACACCGACACCCCGGGCGUCUGGACGGCGGAGCAGGCGGAGGCGUGGCGCCCCGUCGUCGACGCCGUGCACGCCAAGGGCGCCCUCUUCUUCUGCCAGCUCUGGCACGUCGGCCGCGUCUCGUCCUACGGCUUCCAGCCCGGCGGCGCCGCGCCCGUGUCCAGCACCCAGAGGAUGGUCGGCCCGCAGGUCAGGCACGACGGCACCACCGAGGAGUUCUCGCCGCCCAGGAGGCUGGCCGUGGAGGAGAUCCCCAUGAUCGUCGACGACUUCAGGAAAGCUGCACGGAACGCCAUCAACGCCGGCUUCGACGGCGUGGAGAUCCACGGCGGCAACGGGUACCUCAUCGAGCAGUUCCUCAAGGACAGUGCCAACGACCGGGACGACGGCUAUGGCGGCAGCCUGGAGAACCGGUGCCGCUUCGCGCUGGAGGUGGUGGACGCCGUCGCCAAGGAGGUGGGCGCCCACCGUGUGGGUAUCCGCCUCUCGCCCUUCAUGGACUACAUGGACUGCCACGACUCCGACCCGCACGCGCUCGGUCUCCACAUGGCCACGAAGCUCAACGACCACGGCAUCCUCUACCUCCACAUGAUUGAGCCCCGGAUGGCCCUCGUUGACGGCCGGCGGGUGGUCCCGCACCGACUACUUCCCUACAGGGAGGCCUUCAAGGGCACCUUUAUUGCGAAUGGCGGGUACGACCGGGAGGAUGGGGACAAGGCGGUCGCAUCGGGGUACGCCGACCUCGUCUCGUUUGGGCGGCUAUUCCUGGCAAACCCAGACCUGCCCAAGAGGCUAGAGCUCAACGCGCCGCUUAACAAGUACAAUAGGAUGACGUUCUACAUCUCCGAUCCCGUCGUCGGCUACACCGACUACCCGUUUCUUCCUUGAUGUGUCAUUGAACCAUGGAUAAUGAUUGAUAUUAUGUCAUUUCUACCGUGAAUAAUGUGUCACUCACUCAUUGUCAUGUGAAUUUCAAAUGGAACCUUUUCUUUAUCCCAGCUCUUCCCUUUUUACCCGC